UGGGGAAUCUUGCACAAUGGGGGAAACCCUGAUGCAGCGACGCCGCGUGAACGAUGAAGCCCUUCGGGGUGUAAAGUUCUUUCGGCAGGGACGAUUAUGACUGUACCUGCAGAAGCAGCUGCGGCUAACUACGUGCCAGCAGCCGCGGUAAUACGUAGGCAGCAAGCGUUGUUCGGAAUUACUGGGCGUAAAGAGUGCGUAGGUGGUUGGCUAAGUUUGGUGUGAAAUCUCCCGGCUUAACUGGGAGGGUGCGCCGAAAACUGGCCGGCUAGAGUGUGGGAGAGGGAAGCGGAAUUCCUGGUGUAGCGGUGAAAUGCGUAGAUAUCAGGAGGAACGCCUGCGGUGUAGACGGCUUCCUGGACCAUGACUGACACUGAGGCACGAAAGCGUGGGUAGCAAACAGG
rnacentral:rRNA from 1 species